rnacentral:rRNA from 1 species
CCUACGGGAGGCAGCAGUGGGGAAUAUUGGACAAUGGGCGAAACCCUGAUCCAGCGACGCCGCGUGAGUGAAGACGUCUUUCGGUACGUAAAGCUCUAUCAGUAGGAAAGAAAAUGACGGUACCUGACUAAGAAGCCACGGCUAACUACGUUCCAGAAGCCGCGUUAAUCCGUGGGGGGCAAGCGUUAUCCGGAUUUACGGGGUGUAAAGGGUGCGUAGGGGGAAUGCCAAGUCGGCGGUAAAAGCGCGGGGCUAAACCUCGCUCCGCCGUUGAUACUGGCGUGCUUGAGUGGGGUAGAGGUAUGCGGAAUGCGUGGUGUAGCGGUGAAAUGCAUAGAGAUCACGCAGAACACCGAUUGCGAAGGCAGCAUACCGGCGCCCAACUGACGCUGAGGCACGAAAGCGUGGGUAGCAAACAGGAUUAGAUACCCCUGUAGUC